AAAGCUCGUAGUUGGAUUUCUGUCGAGGACGGUCGGUCCACACUUUGUGUGAGUAUCUGAUUCGGCCUUGGCAUCCUCUGGGGGAACGUCUCUGCGCUUGAUUGCGUGGGGCGGUAUUCCAGACUUUUACUUUGAGGAAAUUAGAGUGUUCACGGCAGGCAAACGCCUUGAAUACAUUAGCAUGGAAUAAUAAUAUAGGAUCUCGGUUCUAUUUUGUUGGUUUCUAGAGCUGAGGUAAUGAUUAAUAGGGAUAAUUGGGGGCAUUCGUAUUAACACGUCAGAGGUGGAAUUCUUGGAUUGUGUUACGACGAACUACUGCGAAAGCAUUUGCCAAGGAUGUUUUCAUUGAUCAAGAACGAAAGUUAGGGGAUCGAAGACGCUUAGAUACCGUCGUAGUCUUAACCAUAAACUAUGCCAACUAGAGAUUGGAGGUCGUUCUUUUUUUGACUCCUUCAGCACCUUAUGAGAAAUCAAAGUCUUUGGGUUCCGGGGGGAGUAUGGUCGCAAGGCUGAAACUUAAAGGAAUUGACGGAAGGGCACCACCAGGAGUGGAGCCUGCGGCUUAAUUUGACUCAACACGGGAAAACUUACCAGGUCCAGACAUAGUGAGGAUUGACAGAUUGAUAGCUCUU
rnacentral:rRNA from 1 species